rnacentral:sRNA from 1 species
AUAAAAACUGCGCUAUUACACACACGUAUCGAUACAUGUGCCGGGUGCUUUGAUCAUAAGGUCGAGGUCGUCCGUAUGGGAUAUGUGGAGGCAUAAC